rnacentral:rRNA from 1 species
CUACAGGCUUAACACAUGCAAGUCGAGGGGCAGCAUUUUAGUUUGCUUGCAAACUGAAGAUGGCGACCGGCGCACGGGUGAGUAACACGUAUCCAACCUGCCGAUAACUCCGGAAUAGCCUUUCGAAAGAAAGAUUAAUACCGGAUAGCAUACGAAUAUCGCAUGAUAUUUUUAUUAAAGAAUUUCGGUUAUCGAUGGGGAUGCGUUCCAUUAGUUUGUUGGCGGGGUAACGGCCCACCAAGACUACGAUGGAUAGGGGUUCUGAGAGGAAGGUCCCCCACAUUGGAACUGAGACACGGUCCAAACUCCUACGGGAGGCAGCAGUGAGGAAUAUUGGUCAAUGGGCGAGAGCCUGAACCAGCCAAGUAGCGUGAAGGAUGAAGGCUCUAUGGGUCGUAAACUUCUUUUAUAUGGGAAUAAAGUUUUCCACGUGUGGAAUUUUGUAUGUACCAUAUGAAUAAGGAUCGGCUAACUCCGUGCCAGCAGCCGCGGUAAUACGGAGGAUCCGAGCGUUAUCCGGAUUUAUUGGGUUUAAAGGGAGCGUAGGUGGAUUGUUAAGUCAGUUGUGAAAGUUUGCGGCUCAACCGUAAAAUUGCAGUUGAAACUGGCAGUCUUGAGUACAGUAGAGGUGGGCGGAAUUCGUGGUGUAGCGGUGAAAUGCUUAGAUAUCACGAAGAACUCCGAUUGCGAAGGCAGCUCACUAGACUGUCACUGACACUGAUGCUCGAAAGUGUGGGUAUCAAACAGGAUUAGAUACCCUGGUAGUCCACACAGUAAACGAUGAAUACUCGCUGUUUGCGAUAUACAGUAAGCGGCCAAGCGAAAGCAUUAAGUAUUCCACCUGGGGAGUACGCCGGCAACGGUGAAACUCAAAGGAAUUGACGGGGGCCCGCACAAGCGGAGGAACAUGUGGUUUAAUUCGAUGAUACGCGAGGAACCUUACCCGGGCUUAAAUUGCAACAGAAUAUAUUGGAAACAGUAUAGCCGUAAGGCUGUUGUGAAGGUGCUGCAUGGUUGUCGUCAGCUCGUGCCGUGAGGUGUCGGCUUAAGUGCCAUAACGAGCGCAACCCUUAUCUUUAGUUACUAACAGGUUAUGCUGAGGACUCUAGAGAGACUGCCGUCGUAAGAUGUGAGGAAGGUGGGGAUGACGUCAAAUCAGCACGGCCCUUACGUCCGGGGCUACACACGUGUUACAAUGGGGGGUACAGAAGGCGGCUACCUGGUGACAGGAUGCUAAUCCCAAAAACCUCUCUCAGUUCGGAUCGAAGUCUGCAACCCGACUUCGUGAAGCUGGAUUCGCUAGUAAUCGCGCAUCAGCCAUGGCGCGGUGAAUACGUUCCCGGGCCUUGUACACACCGCCCGUCAAGCCAUGAAAGCCGGGGGUACCUGAAGUACGUAACCGCAAGGAGCGUCCUAGGGUAAAACUGGUAAUUGGGGCUAAGA